UCACUGUUAAAAGCAGCGUGAAUGACUGCACAGUGAUGGUUUAACCUGGUUAAUUGGCUAAUGGAUCUCUGUUGAUUGUUACCUGCUGAUUGGCUGCAGCAGUCGCAGCUGGUUGACAGCUCGCAGUAGUCGUAGUAAUUGACGGAGCAGGAGCUGCACAGCAGCAGAGAGCGUCUCUCAUACACCCCAAAGCCACAUUUCACCAAAGCCAUCCAUUCCGGUUCAGGCAUUUGACUCCACUGCUGGAUUAAUCCUUCAUCUACAAACUGGUGUGAAGCCAGCGAGCGAGCUUCAGGUUGGAGGAGUACAGACAAACAGCAGCUGACUGGGGGUCAGUGUGCUGUGACCGCGGUGCUGCUGUUAACGACGGGUCUAUAAGUUGGCGACAGAUCUAUUCUGGACCGAGAAGUGAGAGACAAACCGACCCCCCCUCCUUUACUUUGUGAAUCUGAGAGGGAGGCACAGCCAGCAUUGGUUCAAAGGUUUUAGGCUUUACCUCCUCCAAACGGCGCCCAGAUGACCCGCCGUAUGGCCUUGACCCAGUCAUCCAUGUCUGUCUGGGAGUUUGCCAUGAGCAGGAAGGAUUCAUGGCUGAUGGGUGCCCGGUCCUUCUCUCCUGUUCCACCUAUAAUGACAAAAUGUAAUGGUUUCCACUGUGGCAGCUAAUUUGAGUUCUUGCCAGCACGCUGAUAUUGAGCCGUGGCUGUCCAGGCUGGUGAAGACAGACCUUGAGGCAGUAGGUAGUUUUCACAAAAAGACAAUAAAAAAAAGGCAGCAGUGCGAGAAGAAUGAAUCAAUAGGCCUCUAAGUUAGAUAUGUGCACAGUCAAGUCGGGACAUGAAGCAAGAUAACAGAGAGCACAUCCCAAAAUGAGUCUGUCUAUAACUCAUAAUGAUGAACAUCAGAGAUUUUGUAUUUUGGGUGUG